rnacentral:rRNA from 1 species
AGCUCCAAUAGCGUAUAUUAAAGUUGUUGCGGUUAAAAAGCUCGUAGUUGGAUUUCUGUCGAGGACGAUCGGUCCGCCUUCUGGGUGAGUAUCUGGUGCGGCCUUGGCAUCUUCUUGGAGAACGUAUCUGCACUUGACUGGGUGGUGCGGUAUCCAGGACUUUUACUUUGAGGAAAUUAGAGUGUUUCAAGCAGGCGAACGCCUUGAAUACAUUAGCAUGGAAUAAUAAGAUAGGACCUUGGUUCUAUUUUGUUGGUUUCUAGAGCUGAGGUAAUGAUUAAUAGGGAUAGUUGGGGGCAUUCGUAUUUAACAGUCAGAGGUGAAAUUCUUGGAUUUGUUAAAGACGGACUACUGCGAAAGCAUUUGCCAAGGAUGUUUUCAUUG